AUGAGCAAGGUGCUCAGCCCGCGGUAUAAAGGCCUUUCAACCUAUGAGAAAGAAUACCUCGCCAUAGUUGUAGCGGUGGAUCAAUGGCAUCCCUACCUCCAACAUGCUGAGUUCAUAAUUCUCACUGAUCAGAAGAGUUUAAUUCGCCUGGAAGAGCAAAGGCUAACCACUCCAUGGCAGCAGAAGGCCUUUACCAAGCUCCUCGGCCUUCGCUACCGAAUCAGAUACAAGAAAGGUGUCGAGAACACAGGGGCAGAUGCUCUAUCAAGGGCCAACCCAAUUGAUUUCCUAAACAGCAUCACUUCUUGUGUACCCGCUUGGCUCGAAGACGUCGUCAACAGCUACAACAACAACCCACAUGCCACUCGCCUCCUGGAACAGUUGUCACUUCAGCAAGACCCGAAGGGCCGUUUUUCUCUUGAAAAAGGACUCAUUCGUUUUCGUCGUAGAAUUUGGCUGGGAGGAGGCAUGCAGAUACGACAACGCAUCAUUUGUACUUUCCACGACAUCCUGAUGGAGGGGCACUCCGAAUUUCCAGUGACUUAUCAUCGCAUCCGGCGUUUGUUUGCGUGGCCAAAGAUGAAGACGCACAUCCUCCAAUACGUGCGCUGCUGUCAGAUAUGUCAGCAGGCCAAACCAGACUGGGCUGCUUCUCCGGGUCUACUCCAGCCACUGCGUGUGCCCAGUCAGCCGUGGGAGAUGAUCUCUAUGGAUUUCGCCGACGGCCUAUCUCAGUCCAGCAAAUUCAAUUGCCUUCUGGUCAUCGUCGACAAGCGUACCAAGUUUGCCUAUUUUCUGCCUCUUGCUCACCCUUACACGGCAGCGUCAGUCACGCAGCUAUACUUACACCAAGUCUACAAGAUCCAUUGCCUACCAGCAGCUAUUGUGUUUGACAGAGACCCGGUGUUUACUAGUCACUUUUGGCAAGAACUCUUCAAAGGGGCAGGGACAGAGUUAAGAUUGAGCACUUCAAACCAUCCUCAGACGGACGGGCAAACGGAGAGGGUUAACCAGUGCGUGGAAACAUUCCUGCGCUGA
rnacentral:rRNA from 1 species